CCUCGGGACGGACGCAGGGGACGCGCGUCGCCCUGGCCGCGGCUGGCCGGGUUCGGGCGCCAUGGAGCGCUACCCAGGCGCCUUGGACGAGGCUGUGGAUGGGGCCCGGCAGCAGGAGCGGCACUACCAGCUGCUGUCCGCGCUGCAGAGCCUAGUGAAAGAGCUGCCCAGCUCGUUCCAGCAGCGCCUGUCCUACACGACGCUCAGCGACCUGGCCCUGGCGCUCCUGGACGGGACCGUGUUCGAGAUCGUGCAGGGGCUGCUGGAGAUCCAGCACCUCACCGAGAAGAGCCUGUACAACCAGCGCCUGCGGCUGCAGAACGAGCACCGAGUGCUCAGGCAGGCGCUGCGACAGAAGCACCAGGAAGCCCAGCAGGCCUGCCGACCCCACAACUUGCCUGUGCUCCAGGCAGCUCAGCAGCGUGAGCUGGAGGCUGUGGAGCACCGGAUCCGUGAGGAGCAGCGGGCAAUGGACCAGAAGAUUGUCCUAGAGCUGGACCGGAAGGUAGCAGACCAGCAGAGCACACUGGAGAAGGCAGGGGUUGCUGGCUUCUAUGUGACCACCAACCCACAGGAGCUGACACUGCAGAUGAACCUGUUGGAACUCAUCAGGAAGCUGCAACAGAGGGGCUGCCAGGCAGGCAAGACAGCCCUGUGAUCAGCUGGGGUCUCUGCCAGUUAACCGCUGCCCGUCACACCUGAGAGACAGCUCUGUCCCUCUGUCACCGCAAGUGGCAGGAAGCUGAGUGGAACUUGUCCUUCUGACACCUGGCCACCACCUUCCCAGCUGCCUGCAGGAGAGGUCGACCGUCUGCAGAGAGGCCAAGUGGACCCCUGGCGAAGGUGCUCCUGACCCUGUGACAUCCGGUGACAAGGACGGGGCAUCCGAGGCAGGAAAUGAGCACCUGGGAAGUCCCUAGGGAUGGAGGGAGGAAGACAGAACAGUCCUGUCCAGCUGGGACGCCACUCGGCCCCCCGGCUGUCCCAGGGAAACAGCCACACCACCCUGGCAGGAACUCUUGCAAGGGAGCCUCGCCACAGUCUGCAUUCGGCCCGGGUGGCACUGGUGGCCUCGGCGUUCCUGUCCUCACCCUGAUGGCCGUGGCCACUGUGCAUUAGAAAUCAUGCUUGUCAGCUGUAGUUUCAGGCUGUGAAAAAGCUGUGUGGUCACAAGUGGAGAGUAAGUGCCGCGUCCCCGAACGAGUGUGGAGCGACCAGUGUCAGCUCAUCAGGAGGCACCCUGAAGGCACCCAGCCUGGCUGCGCCCCGCUCCGGCUGCAACCUGCCCCAGCUGCUCCUUCAUCGCCCCUUCCCGAAGCCUGGCUCAGCCCCAAGCCUUGAGCACCCUGCUCUGCUCCUGGGAGAAGCAAGGGCCGGGAAGGCCGCUGCCGCUAUGCUGGGGGCCUCAAGCCCAGGAAGGUGGCAACCGGGGUAGACAGAAUUGCCCCCACAUGGUGCUGCCUGGGUUAGGACAGAAAACACAACAGGGGGAUGACACUGGGGUAUUCGUGAAUUUACCUCACCUUAUUCCUCUAUCUGACUUGUCUGGAUUCUACCAAAGUUUUGCUCCACAGGGCAGGCAUUUAAAGAGAAAACAGACUAUAUUAAAUUCUAAAUGCA